rnacentral:rRNA from 1 species
AUGGCGAAGCAUGGCGAUCCAUCGGCUUCAGGAUCAAAGGGGAAGGGAAAGUUGGAGGAGCUAAUGAAGGAGCUAGACCUCAAGGAAGACGACCUCGGCGACGUUGUUUUCGAGGAAGAUGACACCUCGACAGUGGAGGACCUCUGCUGGAUGAUCUUGGUCAGAGUCCACAUGGACAAAGGGUUUAGCACCUACUGGUUCUUCCGCAACAUGAGGACGCCCUGGGAUCUUGCUAGGUCGGUGAAAAUCAAAACCCUGGAGGAGAACCUCUUCCAGAUGCAGUUCAACUGCCUAGGCGAUUGGGAGAGAGUCACUCAAGGGGGUCCAUGGCACUUUCGAGGCAACCCGAUGAUCAUUGCCCUCAUAUGA